UGCAAGUCGAGCGGACAGAAGGGAGCUUGCUCCCGGAUGUUAGCGGCGGACGGGUGAGUAACACGUGGGUAACCUGCCUGUAAGACUGGGAUAACUCCGGGAAACCGGAGCUAAUACCGGAUAGUUCCUUGAACCGCAUGGUUCAAGGAUGAAAGACGGUUUCGGCUGUCACUUACAGAUGGACCCGCGGCGCAUUAGCUAGUUGGUGGGGUAAUGGCUCACCAAGGCGACGAUGCGUAGCCGACCUGAGAGGGUGAUCGGCCACACUGGGACUGAGACACGGCCCAGACUCCUACGGGAGGCAGCAGUAGGGAAUCUUCCGCAAUGGACGAAAGUCUGACGGAGCAACGCCGCGUGAGUGAUGAAGGUUUUCGGAUCGUAAAGCUCUGUUGUUAGGGAAGAACAAGUGCGAGAGUAACUGCUCGCACCUUGACGGUACCUAACCAGAAAGCCACGGCUAACUACGUGCCAGCAG
rnacentral:rRNA from 2 species